AGAGUUUGAUCCUGGCUCAGGAUGAACGCUGGCGGCGUGCUUAACACAUGCAAGUCGAACGGAGUGCCCAUGACAGAGGAUUCGUCCAAUGGAUUGGGUUACUUAGUGGCGGACGGGUGAGUAACGCGUGAGGAACCUGCCUCGGAGUGGGGAAUAACACAACGAAAGCUGUGCUAAUACCGCAUGAUACAGUUGGGUCGCAUGACUCUGACUGUCAAAGAUUUAUCGCUCUGAGAUGGCCUCGCGUCUGAUUAGCUGGUUGGCGGGGUAACGGCCCACCAAGGCGACGAUCAGUAGCCGGACUGAGAGGUUGACCGGCCACAUUGGGACUGAGACACGGCCCAGACUCCUACGGGAGGCAGCAGUGGGGAAUAUUGGGCAAUGGGCGCAAGCCUGACCCAGCAACGCCGCGUGAAGGAAGAAGGCUUUCGGGUUGUAAACUUCUUUUCUCAGGGACGAAGCAAGUGACGGUACCUGAGGAAUAAGCCACGGCUAACUACGUGCCAGCAGCCGCGGU
rnacentral:rRNA from 1 species